AGUGAACGCUGGCGGUAGGCCUAACACAUGCAAGUCGAACGGCAGCACAGUAAGAGCUUGCUCUUACGGGUGGCGAGUGGCGGACGGGUGAGGAAUACAUCGGAAUCUACUUUUUCGUGGGGGAUAACGUAGGGAAACUUACGCUAAUACCGCAUACGACCUACGGGUGAAAGCAGGGGAUCUUCGGACCUUGCGCGAUUGAAUGAGCCGAUGUCGGAUUAGCUAGUUGGCGGGGUAAAGGCCCACCAAGGCGACGAUCCGUAGCUGGUCUGAGAGGAUGAUCAGCAACACUGAAACUAGGACACGUUCCAACCCCCUAGGGGAGGCAGCGGUGGGAAUUAUUGGACAAGGGGGGAAGGCCUAACCCGGCCAUCCGGCGUGGGUAAGAAGGGCCUUCGGGUUGUAAGGCCCUUUUGUUGGAAAGAAAAAAAGGCAGGUUAAAACCCGGCUGUUUGAAGGGACCCAAAGAAUAAGCCACGGCUAACUUCGGG
rnacentral:rRNA from 1 species